UUAAAGCCAAAAUGUAUCAACCAUUCAAAAUACAUCCCAAUAAUACCAUUCGUUUACAAUUUCAAAUUACUACAUCCACAAAAUAUAUACCAAUAAAUGAAUAUGAUUUUAACAUCUCCAAAGCCAGUACAGAUUUCACUCUUUUAGUAGUAAUUAGGAGAUAACUUAUGUUUAAUCAUUUCCUAUGUUAUUGCUCAUCUC
rnacentral:lncRNA from 1 species